GACGAACGCUGGCGGCGUGCCUAAUACAUGCAAGUCGAACGCAGUGGGGACGGGUGAGUAACACGUGGGUAACCUCCCAUCAGAGGGGAUAACACUUGGAAACAGGUGCAAAUCCGAUAAGGAUGGCUGAACGGGCGGUUCAUUAGCUAGUUGGUGAGGUAACGGCGCACCAAGGCCACGAUUCAUAGCCGCGCUGAGAGGGGGAGCGGCCAAACUGGGACUGAGACACGGCCCAGACUCCGACGGUAGGCAGCAGUAGGGAAUCUUCGGCAAUGGACGAAAGUCUGACCGAGCAACGCCGCGUGAGUGAAGAAGGUUUUCGGAUCGUAAAACUCUGUUGUUAGAGAAGCGGUAUCUAACCAGAAAGCCACGGCUAACUACGUGCCAGCCGCCGCGGUAAUAC
rnacentral:rRNA from 1 species